GAUGAACGCUAGCGGGAGGCCUAACACAUGCAAGCCGAGCGGUAUUUGUUCUUCGGAACAGAGAGAGCGGCGCACGGGUGCGGAACACGUGUGCAACCUGCCUUUAUCUGGGGGAUAGCCUUUCGAAAGGAAGAUUAAUACCCCAUAAUAUAUUGAGUGGCAUCACUUGAUAUUGAAAACUCCGGUGGAUAGAGAUGGGCACGCGCAAGAUUAGAUAGUUGGUGAGGUAACGGCUCACCAAGUCAAUGAUCUUUAGGGGGCCUGAGAGGGUGAUCCCCCACACUGGUACUGAGACACGGACCAGACUCCUACGGGAGGCAGCAGUGAGGAAUAUUGGACAAUGGGUUAGCACCUGAUCCAGCCAUCCCGCGUGAAGGACGACGGCCCUAUGGGUUGUAAACUUCUUUUGUAUAGGGAUAAACCUACUCUCGUGAGAGUAGCUGAAGGUACUAUACGAAUAAGCACCGGCUAACUCCGUG
rnacentral:rRNA from 1 species